AUAUGUUACGAUGAAGAUUCAAAGCUCCCUCUUCUGAUAUAAAAGUUGAGGAAACUCUGCUGGCAGAAUCGAACCUAAUUUAACUUCAUGCCUACUGAGUAA
rfam:Helianthus annuus linkage group 9, whole genome shotgun sequence.